rnacentral:rRNA from 1 species
AGAGUUUGAUCCUGGCUCAGGACGAACGCUGGCGGCGCGCCUAACACAUGCAAGUCGAACGAGCGAGAGGGAGCUUGCUUUCUCGAGCGAGUGGCGAACGGGUGAGUAACGCGUGAGGAACCUGCCUCAAAGAGGGGGACAACAGUUGGAAACGACUGCUAAUACCGCAUAAGCCCACGGGUCGGCAUCGACCAGAGGGAAAAGGAGCAAUCCGCUUUGAGAUGGCCUCGCGUCCGAUUAGCUAGUUGGUGAGGUAACGGCCCACCAAGGCGACGAUCGGUAGCCGGACUGAGAGGUUGAACGGCCACAUUGGGACUGAGACACGGCCCAGACUCCUACGGGAGGCAGCAGUGGGGAAUAUUGCACAAUGGGGGAAACCCUGAUGCAGCGACGCCGCGUGGAGGAAGAAGGUCUUCGGAUUGUAAACUCCUGUUGUUGAGGAAGAUAAUGACGGUACUCAACAAGGAAGUGACGGCUAACUACGUGCCAGCAGCCGCGGUAAAACGUAGGUCACAAGCGUUGUCCGGAAUUACUGGGUGUAAAGGGAGCGCAGGCGGGAAGACAAGUUGGAAGUGAAAUCCAUGGGCUCAACCCAUGAACUGCUUUCAAAACUGUUUUUCUUGAGUAGUGCAGAGGUAGGCGGAAUUCCCGGUGUAGCGGUGGAAUGCGUAGAUAUCGGGAGGAACACCAGUGGCGAAGGCGGCCUACUGGGCACCAACUGACGCUGAGGCUCGAAAGUGUGGGUAGCAAACAGGAUUAGAUACCCUGGUAGUCCACACCGUAAACGAUGAUUACUAGGUGUUGGAGGAUUGACCCCUUCAGUGCCGCAGUUAACACAAUAAGUAAUCCACCUGGGGAGUACGACCGCAAGGUUGAAACUCAAAGGAAUUGACGGGGGCCCGCACAAGCAGUGGAGUAUGUGGUUUAAUUCGACGCAACGCGAAGAACCUUACCAAGUCUUGACAUCCUGCGACGGUGCUGGAAACAGUACUUUCCUUCGGGACGCAGAGACAGGUGGUGCAUGGUUGUCGUCAGCUCGUGUCGUGAGAUGUUGGGUUAAGU